CGAACGAGUUCUCGUUGAUGAUCGGUGCUUGCACCGAGAUUCAACAUGGAACGAGUGGCGGACGGGUGAGUAACACGUGGGUAACCUGCCCUUAAGUGGGGGAUAACAUUUGGAAACAGAUGCUAAUACCGCAUAGAUCCAAGAACCGCAUGGUUCUUGGCUGAAAGAUGGCGUAAGCUAUCGCUUUUGGAUGGACCCGCGGCGUAUUAGCUAGUUGGUGAGGUAAUGGCUCACCAAGGCGAUGAUACGUAGCCGAACUGAGAGGUUGAUCGGCCACAUUGGGACUGAGACACGGCCCAAACUCCUACGGGAGGCAGCAGUAGGGAAUCUUCCACAAUGGACGCAAGUCUGAUGGAGCAACGCCGCGUGAGUGAAGAAGGCUUUCGGGUCGUAAAACUCUGUUGUUGGAGAAGAAUGGUCGGCAGAGUAACUGUUGUCGGCGUGACGGUAUCCAACCAGAAAGCCACGGCUAACUACGUGCCAGCAGCCGCGGUAAUACGUAGGUGGCAAGCGUUAUCCGGAUUUAUUGGGCGUAAAGCGAGCGCAGGCGGUUUUUUAAGUCUGAUGUGAAAGCCCUCGGCUUAACCGAGGAAGCGCAUCGGAAACUGGGAAACUUGAGUGCAGAAGAGGACAGUGGAACUCCAUGGUGUAGCGGUGAAAUGCGUAGAUAUAUGGAAGAACACCAGUGGCGAAGGCGGCUGUCUGGUCUGUAACUGACGCUGAGGCUCGAAAGCAUGGGUAGCGAACAGGAUUAGAUACCCUGGUAGUCCAUGCCGUAAACGAUGAAUGCUAGGUGUUUGGAAGGGUUUCCGCCCUUCAGUGCCGCAGCUAACGCAUUAAGCAUUCCGCCUGGGGAGUACGACCGCAAGGUUGAAACUCAAAGGAAUUGACGGGGGCCCGCACAAGCGGUGGAGCAUGUGGUUUAAUUCGAAGCAACGCGAAGAACCUUACCAGGUCUUGACAUCUUUUGAUCACCUGAAAGAU
rnacentral:rRNA from 2 species